CCUACGGGUGGCAGCAGUGAGGAAUAUUGGUCAAUGGCCGGAAGGCUGAACCAGCCAUGCCGCGUGAAGGUCAGUGCCCUAUGGGCGUUAAACUUCUUUUGUGCGGGAGCAAUAAUGGUCACGUGUGGCCAGACGAGAGUACCGUACGAAUAAGCAUCGGCUAACUCCGUGCCAGCAGCCGCGGUAAUACGGGGGAUGCAAGCGUUAUCCGGAUUUAUUGGGUUUAAAGGGUGCGUAGGCUGUGAGGUAAGUCAGCGGUGAAAUGCCCCCGCUCAACGGGGUGAAGUGCCAUUGAUACUGCCUUGCUGGAAUGCGGAUGCCGUGGGAGGAAUGUGUGGUGUAGCGGUGGAAUGCAUAGAUAUCACACAGAACACCGAUUGCGAAGGCAUCUCACGAAUCCGCGAUUGACGCUGAUGCACGAAAGCGUGGGUAUCAAACAGGAUUAGAUACCCCAGUAGUC
rnacentral:rRNA from 1 species